AAGCUCAGCCCAUCCUUCUAAAAUGAUAGUACUUAUAGUCACUAUUUGGUCUCUCAAAAUGUUCACAUUUUUAUUACUGAAUUAGUCAAGAUAGUAUUCUAGAAAAUCGGAAAUGUAACUAAAGAACCUGAGUUAACUUGUCCAAGCAAUCCCAGGCCUAAUGCACGCUAUCUUAGAUCUGAUAUAGUACAAAUAUGUGCUAUACUAGGCCUAGAAAUGUGUAAGUUUGGUAUUAAUUUUUUUUUCGCACUCUUUGGGGGUAACAGUACAUAUUGGUACGUUCGACCAAAUAGUUGUCAUAAGUAUUAUAAUUUUAGGAGGAUAUGUUUUCUAAACUAACAUACUUUCUUCAAAAUAACAUUAAAUAUUACCUCGAACUUUAUCUUAAAUUAACCAGAAGUAACCUUCCUGAGCCCAACGAUAAGACUGUUGACAUAUUCUUAUAUAUUAAAUCAUAACUAUCUUUUCAAGAUAGUUACUUGCUUAGCCAACUGAAUUUCGAGGUUCAUUCCUCAGCCCAUAAGUGCCUCUGUAACCUUUUCCACCGCCGCCCUCAGGAUGGGUAUAGGGUGUAUGAUAAAUUAAUUAAACUAUAAAAAACUUUCACCAAAGACCCCCCACCACCUGAUGCCACACAUAAGAAACAAACGUAGCCUACAACCAAUUACAGUGGACCUGGUUAGGUUCGCCGGUCGGCCGCCGGAGGGAGCAGACCCGUCCUGUCCCCUCAGUUGUUGGGCGGAUCGUGCAGUUGGUGGUUGAGCGGCAGUUUGAGUGCCCUGUUGGGUACCCUGCUAGUGCAGGGUGUGGAUGCCCCCUCUCGAGCGUACGUCGUCGAUUGGCCUUUAGUUUUCGUCGUCUAUCAACCAUACUGGACUUGGCAUUGCCCUAGUGGAGUUCUGCUGGACGUUAGUGCAAGACACGAGUGCAAUAAGGCAUUACCAAAGGUGGAGGCUAGACUGUGCCUUACCAGGAGUGCCGCAGCCGACGCAGAAGGCGAGGAUGGGUUCCUGGUAGUCGAAGAUGGCGAUGCGAGCUGUCCCGUCCUCGGCCACUGUCACGCUCCUGGUGCAGUUGCUGAUGAGCUCACAAUAGUCCCCCGCCGGCAGCCCUGAUCAGCGGCAGACACCAGAAUUGUGGCUCCCACUCCCCCAAAAAUGUAUUUCGAGAAUUCCCCCUCUUUUUUUUUGUUUAUCCUGACGAAGUUAUACAAAACAUCUGUAGGACCCACGAAACGAAAGGUAACAAAUAUAAUUGCCUUAGUUUGGGUUCAGCAGCAAAAAUAUAAGCGUAUUUUUCGUAACUCAAAAUGGUGACCGUUCAAUGUUUCCACAAGUUCAUUCAGGGACUUCAAGCCGUGGGAAGCGCAAGAAGUCUCUUACAUUUCCUGAAUUGUUCUCCAGUUCCAACGUUUGAUGACAUUCAGGGAUGACAGCCUGGUUAAUAAGAUAUAUAAAAUAAAGCCACAAGGAAAGUGUGUGUAGCUACAGACUUGACAAGACACUCACCAGUCUGGAG